GAUGAACGCUGGCGACGUGCCUAAUACAUGCAAGUCGAGCGAACGGACGAGAAGCUUGCUUCUCUGAUGUUAGCGGCGGACGGGUGAGUAACACGUGGAUAACCUACCUAUAAGACUGGGAUAACUUCGGGAAACCGGAGCUAAUACCGGAUAAUAUUAUGAACCGCAUGGUUCAAAAGUGAAAGACGGUCUUGCUGUCACUUAUAGAUGGAUCCGCGCUGCAUUAGCUAGUUGGUAAGGUAACGGCUUACCAAGGCAACGAUGCAUAGCCGACCUGAGAGGGUGAUCGGCCACACUGGAACUGAGACACGGUCCAGACUCCUACGGGAGGCAGCAGUAGGGAAUCUUCCGCAAUGGGCGAAAGCCUGACGGAGCAACGCCGCGUGAGUGAUGAAGGUCUUCGGAUCGUAAAACUCUGUUAUUAGGGAAGAACAUAUGUGUAAGUAACUGUGCACAUCUUGACGGUACCUAAUCAGAAAGCCACGGCUAACUACGUG
rnacentral:rRNA from 1 species